CAGUCGAGCGAAUCGAUGGGAGCUUGCUCCCUGAGAUUAGCGGCGGACGGGUGAGUAACACGUGGGCAACCUGCCUAUAAGACUGGGAUAACUUCGGGAAACCGGAGCUAAUACCGGAUACGUUCUUUUCUCGCAUGAGAGAAGAUGGAAAGACGGUUUACGCUGUCACUUAUAGAUGGGCCCGCGGCGCAUUAGCUAGUUGGUGAGGUAAUGGCUCACCAAGGCGACGAUGCGUAGCCGACCUGAGAGGGUGAUCGGCCACACUGGGACUGAGACACGGCCCAGACUCCUACGGGAGGCAGCAGUAGGGAAUCUUCCGCAAUGGACGAAAGUCUGACGGAGCAACGCCGCGUGAACGAAGAAGGCCUUCGGGUCGUAAAGUUCUGUUGUUAGGGAAGAACAAGUACCAGAGUAACUGCUGGUACCUUGACGGUACCUAACCAGAAAGCCACGGCUAACUACGUGCCAGCAGCCGCGGUAAUACGUAGGUGGCAAGCGUUGUCCGGAAUUAUUGGGCGUAAAGCGCGCGCAGGUGGUUCCUUAAGUCUGAUGUGAAAGCCCACGGCUCAACCGUGGAGGGUCAUUGGAAACUGGGGAACUUGAGUGCAGAAGAGGAAAGUGGAAUUCCAAGUGUAGC
rnacentral:rRNA from 2 species